AAAAAAUUAGUUUAAAUUAAAAUAUAAAAUUGUCAGUUUUAUGAUACUUAAUGUAUUUUUUU
rnacentral:tRNA from 1 species